rnacentral:tRNA from 2 species
ACCCAGCUAGCUCAGUGGGUAGAGCAUGAGACUCAAUCUCAGGGUUGUGGGUUCGAGCCCCACAUUGGGCA